UACGAAGGGGGCUAGCGUUGUUCGGAAUCACUGGGCGUAAAGCGCACGCAGGCGGAUCGUUAAGUCAGGGGUGAAAUGCCGAGGCUCAACCUCGGAACUGCCUUUGAUACUGGCGAUCUUAGAGUCCGGGAGAGGUGAGUGGAACUCCGAGUGUAGAGGUGAAAUUCGUAGAUAUUCGGAAGAACACCAGUGGCGAAGGCGGCUCACUGGCCCGGUACUGACGCUGAGGAGCGAAAGCGUGGGGAGCGAACAGG
rnacentral:rRNA from 1 species